rnacentral:misc_RNA from 1 species
UACGAAGGCCCCAAGCAUUACCCGGAAUUAUUGGGCGUAAAGCGCUAAAAGGUGGCUUAGUAAGUCGAGUGUUAAAUAUCGGAGCUCAACUCCGAAACUGCACUCGAAACUACUUCGCUAGAGAAUGGAAGAGGUCAGCGGAAUUUCCGGUGUAGCAGUAAAAUGCGUUAAUAUCGGAAGGAACACCAAAAGCGAAGGCAGCUGACUGGGACAUUUCUGACACUAAAUAGCGAAAGCGUGGGGAGCGAACGGG